GGUUAGCGGCGGACGGGUGAGUAACGCGUGGGNAUAUGCCCUUUGGUACGGAAUAGCCCCGGGAAACUGGGAGUAAUACCGUAUACGCCCUUUGGGGGAAAGAUUUAUCGGCAAAGGAUUAGCCCGCGUUGGAUUAGGUAGUUGGUGGGGUNAUGGCCUACCAAGCCGACGAUCCAUAGNUGGUUUGAGAGGAUGAUCAGCCACACUGGGANUGAGACACGGCCCAGACUCCUACGGGAGGCAGCAGUGGGGAAUNUUAGACAAUGGGGGCAACCCUGAUNUAGCCAUGCCGCGUGAGUGAUGAAGGCCCUAGGGUUGU
rnacentral:rRNA from 1 species